rnacentral:rRNA from 1 species
GAGGAAUAUUGGUCAAUGGGCGAGAGCCUGAACCAGCCAAGUCGCGUGAAGGAAGAAGGUUCUAUGGAUUGUAAACUUCUUUUGUAAGGGAAUAAAAAAGAGUACGUGUACUCUAUUGUAUGUACUUUACGAAUAAGGAUCGGCUAACUCCGUGCCAGCAGCCGCGGUAAUACGGAGGAUCCGAGCGUUAUCCGGAUUUAUUGGGUUUAAAGGGUGCGUAGGCGGACUUAUAAGUCAGCGGUGAAAGUUUGCAGCUUAACUGUAAAAUUGCCGUUGAAACUGUUAGUCUUGAGUGUAAAUGAGGUAGGCGGAAUGUGUUGUGUAGCGGUGAAAUGCUUAGAUAUAACACAGAACACCAAUUGCGAAGGCAGCUUACUGGGAUACAACUGACGCUGAGGCACGAAAGCGUGGGGAUCAAAC